rnacentral:rRNA from 1 species
GUCAUAUGCUUGUCUCAAAGAUUAAGCCAUGCAUGUCUCAGUACAAGCCAUAUUAAGGUGAAACCGCGAAAGGCUCAUUAAAUCAGUUAUGGUUCCUUAGAUCGUACCCACGUUUACUUGGAUAACUGUGGUAAUUCUAGAGCUAAUACAUGCAAACAGAGCUCUGACCGGAGACGGGAGGAGUGCUUUUAUUAGAUCAAAACCAAUCGGCGGCAGUUAUGUUUCGGCAUUACUGUGCAGUCGCACUGUUUGGUGACUCUGAAUAACUUUUGGCUGAUCGCACGGUCUUGCACCGGCGACGCAUCUUUCAAAUGUCUGCCUUAUCAACUGUCGAUGGUAGGUUCUGCGCCUACCAUGGUUGUAACGGGUAACGGGGAAUCAGGUUCGAUUCCGGAGAGGGAGCCUGAGAAACGGCUACCACAUCCAAGGAAGGCAGCAGGCGCGCAAAUUACCCACUCCCGGCACGGGGAGGUAGUGACAAAAAAUAACGAUACGGGACUCAUCCGAGGCCCCGUAAUCGGAAUGAGUACACUUUAAAUCCUAUAACAAGGACCAAUUGGAGGGCAAGUCUGGUGCCAGCAGCCGCGGUAAUUCCAGCUCCAAUAGCGUAUAUUAAAGUUGUUGCGGUUAAAAAGCUCGUAGUUGAAUCUGUGUCCCGCGCUGUCGGUUCACCGCCCGCGGUGUUUAACUGGCACGUCUCGCGGGACGUCCUGCCGGUGGACGUGUAUUCUGCGUGUCCUCCCAUCAUUUCAUUCGUAUUAGCACUGCGUACUGUCUUCCGUUGUAUAGACAACUUGUGUGAGUGUAGUGUGUUCUUUAACCAGUUCACACUCGCUCCGCCGGUUCCUAUGCGCGGCUUUAUGCGUGUGUACGCGUGGUGGUGUGUGGGGUGCCGUUGUGGUACCGUCCGACUAACGAAUCCUGUCGCGGUGCUCUUAACUGAGUGUCGAGGCGGGCCGGCACGUUUACUUUGAACAAAUUAGAGUGCUCAAAGCAGGCUAAAAUUUCGCCUGAAUACUGUGUGCAGGAAUAAUGAACAGGACCUCGGUUCUAUUUUGUUGGUUUUCCGAACCCCGAGUUAAUGAUUAAUAGGGACAGAUGGGGGCAUUCGUAUUGCGACGUUAGAGGUGAAAUUCUUAGAUCGUCGCAAGACGGACAGAAGCGAAAGCAUUUGCCAAAAAUGUUUUCAUUAAUCAAGAACGAAAGUCAGAGGUUCGAAGGCGAUCAGAUACCGCCCUAGUUCUGACCAUAAACGAUGCCAGCUAGCGAUCCGCCGACGUUCCUCCGAUGACUCGGCGGGCAGCUUCCGGGAAACCAAAGCUUUUGGGUUCCGGGGGAAGUAUGGUUGCAAAGCUGAAACUUAAAGGAAUUGACGGAAGGGCACCACCAGGAGUGGAGCCUGCGGCUUAAUUUGACUCAACACGGGAAACCUCACCAGGCCCGGACACCGGAAGGAUUGACAGAUUGAGAGCUCUUUCUUGAUUCGGUGGGUGGUGGUGCAUGGCCGUUCUUAGUUGGUGGAGUGGUUUGUCUGGUUAAUUCCGAUAACGAACGAGACUCUAGCCUGCUAACUAGGCGUUACUUACCGGUAUCCUGAAGGCUUGUGUCUCUCGUUACCUGUCACUUGUAUGUUGCGCGUUCGUGUGUUCUGCGUGGUCGUUUCGGCGGCACCGUAGUCGCGCAGCGUUGCGCUGCUUGUGUGCAGUACGAGUGUAUACAGUUUUUACUACCGGCGUACAUAUAAAUCUUCUUAGAGGGACAGGCGGCUUCUAGCCGCACGAGAUUGAGCAAUAACAGGUCUGUGAUGCCCUUAGAUGUUCUGGGCCGCACGCGCGCUACACUGAAGGAAUCAGCGUGUCUUCCCUGGCCGAACGGUCCGGGUAACCCGCUGAACCUCCUUCGUGCUAGGGAUUGGGGCUUGCAAUUGUUCCCCAUGAACGAGGAAUUCCCAGUAAGCGCGAGUCAUAAGCUUGCGUUGAUUACGUCCCUGCCCUUUGUACACACCGCCCGUCGCUACUACCGAUUGAAUGAUUUAGUGAGGUCUUCAGACUGGUUCGCGGUGGCGUUCCGACGUCGCCGAUGACGCUGGGAAGAUGACCAAACUUGAUCAUUUAGAGGAAGUAA